UAUUCCUCCUCAACACAUGUCCAAACCAUCUCAAGCUGGCCUCUCUGGCUUUAUCUCCAAACUGCUCCACCGGCUGAUGUGGUGAAAUACUGCAACUCCUGUCCUGCAUGCCAGGUUGCUGGAAAACCUAAUCAGGGCAUUCUUCCUGUUCCCCUGCAUCCAGUUUCUGCUGUAGUCCUCCCUGUCUCUAGGUGGAGCUCUAUCCAGGCUGAAGGCUGGUGAGUGCAAUGGGAGAAGCACUUCCUGGAGAAUACCAUGACGGAGGCGGAAAUUGAAGCGAGGAGAGGGGAACUAACCUGGCUGUUGAUUUGUGCUCUGUGUGUGCUCUGAGUCUGUGGACUCCUCGGCAGACGUGGACUGUGAAUAGUGUAAACCAUGCUACGCUAAAUUGGUGCUAAAUUGGUGCUAAAUUGACUAUUUUGUCACCGCUGCUGGAAAGGGGUAAGCGCCAUUUUAUUUGUAGGCUCUUUUUUUUGGUUUUGGGCUAGUUGGGGAGUCAGGGAAGUUAUCUGGUUUCUUUGUUUUGUUGGGUUUAGGUGAGUUAGAUUUGGGUUGGAAGUUAAUGUUGGGUUUUGUUUAUUUUGGCCUUUUGCUUACCCCUGGAGAUCCGUUGACUUUUUCACUAACAGUUAUUGGCUGUAUCAAUUCUAUCUUUGUUGUAAAUAGUCUGAACAUGAAA